rnacentral:rRNA from 1 species
GUGGGGAAUCUUGCGCAAUGGGCGAAAGCCUGACGCAGCCAUGCCGCGUGAAUGAUGAAGGUCUUAGGAUUGUAAAAUUCUUUCACCGGGGACGAUAAUGACGGUACCCGGAGAAGAAGCUCCGGCUAACUUCGUGCCAGCAGCCGCGGUAAUACGAAGGGGGCUAGCGUUGCUCGGAAUUACUGGGCGUAAAGGGCGCGUAGGCGGACAGCUUAGUCAGAGGUGAAAGCCCAGGGCUCAACCUUGGAAUUGCCUUUGAUACUGGCUGUCUUGAGUGUGGGAGAGGUGAGUGGAACUCCGAGUGUAGAGGUGAAAUUCGUAGAUAUUCGGAAGAACACCAGUGGCGAAGGCGACUCACUGGCCCAAUACUGACGCUGAGGCGCGAAAGCGUGGGGAGCAAACAGGAUUAGAAACCCUGGUAGUCC